AUGCCCCCGGCUCCUGUCCACGGGCAUGGCCUCCUGGGAGCCAAGUGGGGCGGGCAGGCAGUGUGGCCUCCUGGUGAUCCACACGCCCCCUCCUCACUGGGACCGGGGAGCAGCCCCUACAGCCAGGAGGAGCAGGCCCUGGGCCAGACGCCACAAGCUGGGGCCUGGUACUGGCUGUGUAUGGUGUCUGUGACCUCAGGCAGAGCCUGUGCCGGCCUGUGCCUGUCUCCACCGGCACGAGCUAUGUGGCAGGUCACGGUGGCUGGGCCAGGGCCUCAGGUUGGCCUCCCUGUCAUCUGCCCUUCCAGGGACACAGGCUGCUGCAUGGGAGAGCCAGGCUGGCCAGGCCCUGGGACUCAGAGCUCCACUCUCAGCUGGCCUGGCGACCUGGCAGGAGCCCCCACCCCAUUGAAGUGCACAGGCCCAGCUUGGACACCACACCCCUCUGGUGCUCAACAAGAUAGCCGAGGCUGGCUUACUCCGCUGGUCCCCGUGUGCCACUGUCUCCCUCCGUGGGUCAUUUGUCAUCAUCCAUCCACGUGGGCCCAGGGCUCUGUCAACCCCCUGGAGAAGCCGCUUGAAACGACAGCCAAGAACAGGGCCCCCACUGGCUCUUCUUGA
rnacentral:lncRNA from 1 species